ensembl:lncRNA ACTA2-AS1 ACTA2 antisense RNA 1
CCCUUCCCAGGAAAAGGGCGUUUGUUGCCUACCGAUGAAGGAUGGCUGGAACAGGGUCUCUGGGCAGCGGAAACGUUCAUUUCCGAUGGUGAUCACUUGCCCAUCAGGCAACUCGUAACUCUUCUCAAGGGAGGAUGAGGAUGCGGCAGUGGCCAUCUCAUUUUCAAAGUCCAGAGCUACAUAACACAGUUUCUCCUUGAUGUCCCGGACAAUCUCACGCUCAGCUGUCAACCAGAUACAAACAUUGUGGCAAACAUUAGGGUCUGCACAGGUGGCAAAGAUUCACCUGCCCUACUGCAGUCUCUCCCUCAAGACAUGUGCCAUCAAAAAAUGUUUAACCAGGAUAUCUUAUGCUGAAUCAGCUCCUCAGGGGCCUCACAAUUUUCAAAAAGUCUGAGAUCCUGUUGCCUGGGCCAGUGGAUAGCAGGUUAAACCUUUGGCACAUUUCUCACCCUCCAGGAAAGAGGUGGUGCUGUCUCAGGACCAGGCCUAGUCCAGAAGGUUUCAGCGGUGCAUACUGAACGAGAUACGGAAGAAGUGGGCAGGGAGAGACCUUUCAGACUUCUGCUCUCUGAAGUUCUAGGCUAUUAAUUAUAUCUGAGGCUCUAGGAACCUUUUAGAGGCAUCUUGGGAUUCUUUGUAGGGAGCAGAGGAGGAAUGCAAUUAUUCAACUUCAUAUUGCAAGUGGAGACUUUAACAUUGGCAGGGUUCAAGUCUCAAGCCUCAAAUUUGGAGCAUAAAAUAAGCCUCAGGCAUGUUCAGAAACCUAAAUGUUUGGACAAUACCAAAUUGCUAAGGGGAGGACAGGUAGCUGGAGCCACCAGCACUGAGGACAUACAAUGUUUCUGGCAAUGCUGAC